rnacentral:lncRNA from 1 species
UUACUGAAAAUAUUGACUUCUUACAGAUUCUUGGACUUUUAUUCGUGGGAUUUGGUGCAUGCCUUUUAUUAGAUAGAAAUACUUUUUUAACAGCUUUGGAUGAAAACAAACAAUUCAUUAUAUAUAUUUCUCAAAUCUUGAUUGGAAUGGGAUCUGCUGUUGUUCUUCUUUGUCUGUUGGGUUAUUUGUCAAUUCACAUC